rnacentral:lncRNA from 1 species
AAAACUUCCAGCAGCUUUUCUGUGCUGUGACUUACUCAGUGUGGUCAGGCUGCAGAGAUCUCUAUGUGCUUUGGAACAGCCAGGACUCCAGCAGCAGGUGGGGAAGGGGUGCUGGGGAGGCCGGAUGGCUGCUAUGGGGAUGGGCAGCGAAGGGCAGCAGCCGCAGGCUGUAAUGGAGCCUGGGACAGCUACAAGAAGGCACUAUGGCCGCCUUCAGUGCAGCAUUUGUACACAGGCUGGGAUCUUUUGCAAGACUUUAUUCUCAAAAAUAGAUGCAAUUAAGAACUACAAACCACACACACGCAUAUAUAUAUAUGUCCCAACCUACAUACUCGUACAUCAGUGUCUGUGUGUAUACGCAAAACGGUCUUUCUCAUCUGCAGCAGCACACAGGGCAGCUUCUGCCGAUCCAUUUUUAUUUUUAUUUUUAUUUUUGUCUUUGUUUAUUUCCUCUCCCAUCAGCUCCCCGCUCCCCCAGCCCUGAGCCCACAGCCCAGCACGGAGCCGCAGGGCGGGGCUGCCUGGCGCCGCUCCCCCGCGCAUCUCCGCAAUCUCGCGAGAAAACGGUCUUUCUCAUCUGCAGCAGCACACAGGGCAGCUUCUGCCGAUCCAUUUUUAUUUUUAUUUUUAUUUUUGUCUUUGUUUAUUUCCUCUCCCAUCAGCUCCCCGCUCCCCCAGCCCUGAGCCCACAGCCCAGCACGGAGCCGCAGGGCGGGGCUGCCUGGCGCCGCUCCCCCGCGCAUCUCCGCAAUCUCGCGAGAUUUUGUUUGAAACGGCGGCGGGAGGGCGAAGCUCGGCUCAGGCCCGGCCCGGCCCCGCCGCGAUGCCGCGGAUGCUGCGCACGUACUCGCGGCGCGGCGGGUACCUCCGCGCCCUGCCGCAGCCCGACCGCUGGAUUUCGCCCCCUCAGGACCGCAGGCGGCUCUUCAGCUCCUCCUCGGCCGCCUCCAGCGCCCUGUCCAGCGCCCUCUCCGCCCACUCGGACGACCCCGACUUCUCUCCGCCGAGGAAGCGCCGCCAGAAGCCGCNNNNNNNNNNNNNNNNNNNNNNNNNNNNNNNNNNNNNNNNNNNNNN